rnacentral:RNase_P_RNA from 1 species
GAUAAUCGCUGUAAAACAGAGGAAAGUCCAGGCUCGCACAGUCUGUGAUGACUGUAGUGAUUGUGCAUAACGAAUCAAUAAGUUAUGGCAGUGCAAACUGACGACAGGCCUAAAACCUAAACGCAAGCAUGGUUGAUAAGCCGUAAAGUGCCACAGAAACUAUGCCAUGUAGAAAUACAAGGAUGAAAAGAGGUAAACUCCGCAAGCGAGAAACCCAAAUUUGGUAGGGGAAUCAAUACAGAGGAAACGAACGAUGUAUUGGACAUAGCAAUAUGUAGAUAAAUGAUUAUCUGAAAAACAGAACUUGGCUUAC